GGCGAUAUAGUGUAGUGGUUAUCACUCGGGAUUCUGAUUCUUUAUGACUUCCCGAAACCCAGGUUCGAGCCCUGGUAUCGCCU
rnacentral:tRNA from 1 species